rnacentral:lncRNA from 1 species
UCGUGGAUCCAAGUACACUUUUUUAUCGGAGGGAGUAUAACAUAUUACCUUUGUGCUCUUCGAAUUUUAGUAUACACUUGCGAAACAAACAUGUCAUUAAUAUCAGUGCCUAAGAAUCAUUUGUUUUGGAUUCUAAUUUGUUCAGCAGAGGGCGAUCAAUAUAGAAGAGAUAUAUACACAAAUUUCCCUAGGUGCAGCAUCUUCUACUGUCCAAGCCUCCAAGGUAAUUCUCAAGAAUUUGUGUGCUUGCUUGUCCAAAAUGCAUAUGGUCCAACUUGGUUCGUUUUGAUGGGUUCUGAAUUUACUCCAAUUUGGUCACUUUUCAAAUUCAGUUAGAUAGCAUUGUCUUCUCCCUGAGCAGCAAAAUGAAGGUCACCAAUGCUGUGCGGUAGGCUAAAGGACGCCUGCCUCUGUGCCCCUCCCCAAACUACAUGGUCUGCUUCAGCUUGCAUGUUGCCACUUCCUCUAUUCUCAUUGCUUUUCUUUGAUUAGUGUAAUGAUCCACACUGAACGUGUAUGAAAAUGUUUUUGCUGGGGCAUUUUUGCACCAAGCCAAUUGGUCUGCUUUGUUGGAACAAUUGAUUGAUAGUAUCUUCAUUGGAAGUUAUGCCAGGAGCAUGCAUUGGGUGGUAUAUUUUCGCCAUUGUUCGCGCCGCCGAAGCUUGGCUGGGAAAGUUUAUGCCCUUUAUGUAUAUUAAUGUUUAGCUAAAGACAUGGAUCUCUUGAUUUUGUGGAGAUGCAAAGCAGCUCCGUAGGUAGAGGUAUGUAAUUAGUCAGUACAUUUUUAAACUAUUAGUUCAUCUUCUAAAAAAAUAUUAAUGUACAGGUAGUGUAUCUAAAGUUAGGAUCUUUCUACAUUGCACAACCAAGUUUCCAGCCUAAAAAUAUUUUAUCUAAAAUGUUAUUAGUUUCCAAUGUCCUGCUUGAUGUUACAUGGUGUUCAAGAAAGAAUUAUGGGCCAUUUUGUCAUGAAGCAUGAGAAUGAUAAUAUCAACUCAGUUGGGGAUAAGCAAAAAUUAAAUAAAUACUCCCUCCGUAAACUAAUAUAAGAGCGUUUAGAUUACUAAAGUAGUGAUCUAAAUGCUCUUAUAUUAAUUUACAGAGGGAGUACAUGAGAUGUGAUUAAUGAAAUAGGAAAAUGUCCUCUUCUCUCGAUUAUGCAUCUAUGGAAUAAAGAUUAGUGUAGAUUAGUGUAGAUGGUCAUUUAGAUUACUAAAGUAGUGAUCUAAAUGCUCUUAUAUUAAUUUACAGAGGGAGUACAUGAGAUGUGAUUAAUGAAAUAGGAAAAUGUCCUCUUCUCUCGAUUAUGCAUCUAUGAAAUAAAGAUUAGUGUAGAUGGUCAUUGUACAUCUGAAGGGAAACUUUACUGGUCAUGUUCUUCCCCCUUUUCAGUUCACAUGAUCAGUGCAUCCUCUUUAUACUAUGUAGUGCUAGGCUACAAAUUGGUUUUCUCUUUACUGCUCCAGCUGGAUUAUAUCUCAAACUUCCCUUGUUCCUAUGCUGAGAUUCUCCUAGCCAGUGGCAAAGGUACAUACUGCCUCUUCUUCUUUUUCCUUUGCAUUUUUCUUCGAUUGGAAGGAGUGGAUUACUGCCGCCAAUUUCUUGGAUGAAAUGAAGAGAUGCAAGAUAUGUAUGUUGUCAUGUCAGUUAUUUUGUUUUGCAACAAAAUGGAUAGUUCAUGUAUUCCCCACCGAGCAAGAUUUAUGUCUAAACUUAUGUCUGUGCUUCAGAGAUUUUCUUAUUAUGUUUCAAUUCAAGAGACUUGUGUCAUAGAGGCGAUGAACAGGUGGUGCUUAUUUUGCAUUUGUUGAUUAGGGAAUUUUGAUGAAGCAAUGUUUUUUUGGAAUAGCUGAUGAGUGCUCACUUCUACUGUUCCCCAAAAGACUAUUAAUGAUUUUUCCAGUGCUACACAUUGCAUGUUUGCCACAAGCUUAGAAAAUCUUCGUCUUAGUUUGCUAAAUGUUCUUUCUUACCAAACUAGCUUCAGGAUGAAUAGCAGGUUUAUUAACCAUUUGAUCUUGUUUGUGCAUAGCAGGUUUGCUGCUAAGUCUAUUUAAGUAUUUUUUUGCAUGAUUAUCCUAUGGAGCCAUGAUGCUGAACCAAUGAAUUUAGAGAAAAUUUAGUAUGUUUAUGGAUCACUACAUGUUCUGUUGGAACAAGGUGAGAUCCUUUUUCCAGUAACCAUUUGAACACGUGUCAUGCUUUUCGAACAUAACUGAACAUCUGGAGCAGCCAUGGUGUACUGGUGUUUAUAUUUUUGAAUUGCAAGUCAGCAUCUCUAUGUUUCAUUGGCUAUUAUAAUUAUGUACUCCCUUGUUAGAAAGUUAGAAGGAUUUCUUAUUGUGAGUGUAAUCCUUGGUAGCUAAAACCUUUUGUUGUUUGAUAAGAAUAUUUGUUUCUUAUAGUUGAUUGCAUAAUAGGUGCCUUGUCGCCACCUCCAGUCUUUUGAAUGUAAUUAUUUGAAAUGUUCUUUGUCAUAUUGCUUAUGAAUAGAUACAGGGCUAUAUUUUUUAUGUACUAUACUAUCAAGUGUGGAUAAAAACUACUUUGAUCCUCCCUUUGGUUUCUCCAUCAUGGAUGCAUAUAUGCAUUUAUUGUUCAUGUCGCAUAAUAAUGAUUGAAUUAGUUUUUACACCUUUUAACCUUAGUUCAAAAUUAUGGCUCUACAGGUGUACAUAACCAGUAAAUUGUGUUUUUUUGUAUGUGUGGAAACCUUGGUGUUGGACGAAUAUAAUCAGUGUUGUGGUGACACAUUCUGGUGCCGCCGAAAUUUGGCACUCUGACAGUUACCAUUUCUUUUGUCGUGUUCUAUCAGCUGCCAAGUAAAGUACUACAAAAAGUGAUUUCGGUUAAUUCUUGUGCUAAAAAGCAUCAUUCUUUCAUGUUUUAUCCAUUGCUUCCUAAAAACAACAUGGUCACUUUACUUUACAAACACCUUUGCUGCACUAUAGCUUUGCUUUAAUUUAUUGAUAAUGGCUCUCUGUUAUUAGGAACAUACUUUAAAACAUGCUUUUGAGUGUCAGCCUCUGUCAGGUUAUUUGUUUUCAAAUUUUCAUGUUUGCUUAGUUGCUGCCUGCUACACUAUACUGAUUGAAUAUAAUACAUAUGUUGGUUCUGCAUAGGGCAUUUCCUUCCAGAGGAAAGGGUGUGGCAGUUCAGCUACCAUUUCCUUGUCUAAAAAGCUGCAGGCAAAAUCGCCUAUCAGUUUGAAAUAAGUAUUUGUCUAUUGAUAUUAAACUUCACAAUCGGUAGUGGUAUCUUUAGGAAAAAAUAGUGGCAGAUAUGUUGGACAUUUCUUUUCCAGUGUAGGAAUGAUAUUUUUGCAUGAGUCCUCAAAACAUAUUAUUUAGUUGCUUUAACAGAUAAAGAUGCAUUUUGUGCAUGAAUUGUGAUGCUCUUGCUUUCACGAGAAUGUGCUUCAACACUUUAUUAUUGUUCCAGAUACUAAUUUCUUGUCAUCUUUUGUAGAAUGUCCAAGAGACGCGAUGUGGGCACAGAAAUUGCAGCUGCUCUCAAAGCACAUGCAAGAUGUUACAAUAUUAUUCCCUAUCUUGAUUUGUAUAUGGCACCCAUGAAAUUUGAGAUCUUUUCUAAUGUUUGACCAAUAGAUAAUCAAACAAUAUAAAGUUUUGGUGAAAUAUGACCCACAUCAAAUUGGAAAUGAGAGGAUGUGAUUUGGUGCUAAUUUUCCACUUUCAGUUGAUGGCCUUUGUUGUGGUUGCACCAUGGUCUAUGGGGAACAGGAAUGAACACCUCUGCUACAACCGAGUAUGUAGAGUUCAACUAAGCCAUAAUGAGUGUGGAGGUUUAUUUUAUCUAUGUUUGUACCCAUGCAAAUCUUGAAUUGUUUACUUUGAUGGUCUAUCGAUUGUCAGAAUAUAGUAUGUUGUGUUCAACAUGCUCACAAAAUUGUAUAGAAGCUUUAGUGUUCAACAUUAUUGACUGUCUAUGUCAAAUUCAGAUUAACUCUAUGGACUAGCUCAUUCAAGUAUUACAGUUUGUUUUCUGGAUUCCGUUUUUGUUCUUGUAAAAGUAGUCAUACGCCCAUCUUCAGAUAGUGAUCUUAAUGAAACAUUGCAUUUUUUCAUACAAGUCGUUGGUACAAUUUGCACGCAGAUAAAUUUGUAUCACUAUCUAUUUUAUCAGUUAAAAACACCAACAUGUUGUUUGAGGUGCAUGUAUUGGUUGUAACGAAGAUGGGCG